UUUACGACUCUCGGCUACGGAUAUCUUGGCUCUCGCAUCGAUGAAGAACGUAGCGAAAUGCGAUACUUGGUGUGAAUUGCAGAAUCCCGUGAACCAUCGAGUCUUUGAACGCAAGUUGCGCCCAAGGCCACCACGGCCGAGGGCACGCCUGCCUGGGCGUCA
rnacentral:rRNA from 1 species